ensembl:misc_RNA 7SK 7SK RNA
GAAUGUGAGGGCCAUCUGGAUGUAGCCUCUACUCCCCAUUGACAACCAAAGAUUAUUUACUUGGUCUGUCUAGACUGAGCUUCUUCCUCCUUUAUCACUCCAGGAAGGUCCUUCCUGAAGCUGUACUCCCAGUAGAAAAUGGUGACCUUCUCAGAUAAAGGAGGUUCUUUACUGGUUAAGGAGUCCUGAUGGUGCAAUGGUUAAGAGCUCGGCUUCUAACCAAGAGAUUGUCAGUUCGAACCCACCAACCACUCCUUGGAAACCCUAUGGGACAGUUCUCCUCUGUCCUGUA